ACUAACGGGCGUGUUUCUUUUAUUUUAGUGUAUAACGUAAUGUAAACUAAGUAAGAAAAUAUUGACGCAGUCAGCUGUCUUGGUCAGCACCCCAGCCCAGGUGUGAAUCAACACUGGCACAUUAUAUCAAAAUUCAGGAUGGUGGCUGAAGCUCUGACAUCUCCUAUGUAAACACCUAAAUGCCAAGUCUGGACUUCAAAAACAGAUUCUGAAAGUUUAACCAGCAUUAUGGACAAAAAGUAUACACUUUGAACAGACACAAAAACAUAUAGGUCCAUGCCAAGCUAUGAAAGAUUAAUGCUGAGGAUAAAAGAGAAUUGCAGAAGAAUAGAUUGAUGUUCAAAAAAUUCAACAUUAAAUUUGGCUUAGA